UUCUCCUGGGAAACGGGUGGUAAUGCCGGAUGCUCCAGUUGAUCGCAUGGUCUUCUGGGAAAGCUUUCGCGGUAUGGGAUGGGGUCGCGUCCUAUCAGCUUGACGGCGGGGUAACGGCCCACCGUGGCUUCGACGGGUAGCCGGCCUGAGAGGGCGACCGGCCACAUUGGGACUGAGAUACGGCCCAGACUCCUACGGGAGGCAGCAGUGGGGAAUAUUGCACAAUGGGCGCAAGCCUGAUGCAGCGACGCCGCGUGAGGGAUGGAGGCCUUCGGGUUGUAAACCUCUUUUAUCGGGGAGCAAGCGAGAGUGAGUUUACCCGUUGAAUAAGCACCGGCUAACUACGUGCCAGCAGCCGCGGUAAUACGUAGGGUGCAAGCGUUAUCCGGAAUUAUUGGGCGUAAAGGGCUCGUAGGCGGUUCGUCGCGUCCGGUGUGAAAGUCCAUCGCUUAACGGUGGAUCCGCGCCGGGUACGGGCGGGCUUGAGUGCGGUAGGGGAGACUGGAAUUCCCGGUGUAACGGUGGAAUGUGUAGAUAUCAAA
rnacentral:rRNA from 1 species